rnacentral:rRNA from 1 species
AACGAACGCUGGCGGCAGGCUUAACACAUGCAAGUCGAACGGAUCCUUCGGGAUUAGUGGCAGACGGGUGAGUAACGCGUGGGAAUGUACCCUUUGCUACGGAAUAACUCAGGGAAACUUGAGCUAAUACCGUAUGUGCCCUACGGGGGAAAGAUUUAUCGGCAAAGGAUCGGCCCGCGUUGGAUUAGCUAGUUGGUGGGGUAAUGGCCUACCAAGGCGACGAUCCAUAGCUGGUCUGAGAGGAUGAUCAGCCACACUGGGACUGAGACACGGCCCAGACUCCCACGGGAGGCAGCAGUGGGGAAUAUUGGACAAUGGGCGCAAGCCUGAUCCAGCCAUGCCGCGUGAGUGAUGAAGGUCUUAGGAUUGUAAAGCUCUUUCACCGGUGAAGAUAAUGACGGUAGCCGGAGAAGAAGCCCCGGCUAACUUCGUG